rnacentral:rRNA from 1 species
AUACGUAGGGGGCGAGCGUUAUCCGGAAUUACUGGGCGUAAAGGGUGCGCAGGCGGCCAUUUAAGUCAGAUGUGAAAGGCUACGGCUUAACCGUAGUUAGCAUUUGAAACUAGAAGGCUUGAGUGCAGUAGAGGAGAGUGGAAUUCCUAGUGUAGCGGUGAAAUGCGUAGAUAUUAGGAGGAACACCAGUGGCGAAGGCGACUCUCUGGACUGCAACUGACGCUGAGGCACGAAAGCGUCGGUAGCGAACAGGAUUAGAUACCCUGGUAGUCCACGCCGUAAACGAUGAGUGCUAGGUGUUGGAGGAGACAUCCUUCAGUGCCGGAGCUAACGCAUUAAGCACUCCGCCUGGGGAGUACGUACGCAAGUAUGAA